rnacentral:rRNA from 1 species
CGUGUAGGCGGCUUUGACAGUCAGGCGUGAAAGCCCCGGGCUUAACCUGGGAAUUGCGCUUGAUACAUCGAGGCUAGAGUUCGGGAGAGGAGAGUGGAAUUCCCAGUGUAGAGGUGAAAUUCGUAGAUAUUGGGAAGAACACCAGUGGCGAAGGCGGCUCUCUGGACCGAUACUGACGCUAAGGCGCGAAAGCGUGGGGAGCAAACAGGAUUAGAUACCCUGGUAGUCC